rnacentral:rRNA from 1 species
UACGUAGGGUCCAAGCGUUAUCCGGAAUCACUGGGCGUAAAGCGUGCGUAGGUGGCGCGUUAAGUGAGAUGUUAAAUCGUGUGGCUCAACCAUAUCGAUGCAUCUCAUACUGGCGUGCCAGAGGACAGCAGAGGCAAGUGGAAUUUGUAGUGUAGCAGUGAAAUGCGUAGAUAUUACAAGGAACACCAAUGGCGAAGGCAGCUUGCUGGGCUACUCCUGACACUGAGGUACGAAAGCGUGGGGAGCGAACAGG